GCCAGGUGAGGUGGUGCACGCCUGGAGUCUCAGCUACUCCGGGGGCUGAGGCUGGAGGAUCACUUGAGCCUAGGAGUUAUCGGCUGUAGUGAGCAACGCCGAGCGGGUGUCUGCACUAAGUUGGGCAUCAAUAUGGUGAGCUCUAGGGAGUGGGGGUCCUCCAGGCUGCCUAGGCAAGGUGAACCUGCCCAGGUCGGAAAAAGAGCAGGUCAAAACUCCCAUGCUGAUCAGUAGUGGGAUCACACCUGUGAAUAGCCACUGUUCUCCAGCCUGGGCAACAUAGAGACCCCCGUCUCAA
rnacentral:SRP_RNA from 1 species